AUUGAACGCUGGCGGCAGGCCUAACACAUGCAAGUCGAACGAGUGGCGGACGGGUGAGUAAUGUCUGGGAAACUGCCCGAUGGAGGGGGAUAACUACUGGAAACGGUAGCUAAUACCGCAUACCAUCGGAUGUGCCCAGAUGGGAUUAGCUAGUAGGGGGGGUAAUGGAUCACCUAGGCGACGAUCCCUAGCUGGUCUGAGAGGCUGACCAGCCCCACUGGAAGUGAGACCCGGUCCAGACUCCUACGGGAGGCAGCAGUGGGGAAUAUGGCACAAUGGGCGCAAGCCUGAUGCAGCCAUGCCGCGUGUAUGAGGAAGGCCUUCGGGUUGUAAAGUACUUUCAGCGGGGAGGCGUUACUCGCAGAAGAAGCACCGGCUAACUCCGUGCCAGCAGCCGCGGUAAUUG
rnacentral:rRNA from 1 species